rnacentral:rRNA from 1 species
CAGGACGAACGCUGGCGGCGUGCUUAACACAUGCAAGUCGAACGAGGAAUGUUGAAAGCUUGCUUUAAACAUUCGAGUGGCGGACGGGUGAGUAACGCGUGAGGAACCUGUCUUUCACAGGGGGAUAACGUUCCGAAAGGGACGCUAAUACCGCAUGAGACCACGGUGCCGCAUGGCACAGGGGUCAAAGGAGAGAUCCGGUGAAAGGUGGCCUCGCGUCCCAUUAGGCAGUUGGCGGGGUAACGGCCCACCAAACCUACGAUGGGUAGCCGACCUGAGAGGGUGAUCGGCCACAUUGGAACUGAGACACGGUCCAAACUCCUACGGGAGGCAGCAGUGGGGAAUAUUGGGCAAUGGGCGCAAGCCCUGACCCAGCAACGCCGCGUGAGGGAAGAAGGUUUUCGGAUUGUAAACCUCUGUCCCAGGAGACGAGCAGAGGACGGUAUCCUGGGAGGAAGCCCCGGCUAACUACGUGCCAGCCGCCGC